rnacentral:lncRNA from 1 species
CACUCCCCAGCCUCUCACUGCCUCGCCUCCAGAGAGCCCGCCACCCAUGUUCACCUCUCCAUGUCACCACACCAUCCACUACCACACCCAACAACCCCUGUUGCAGCGUUACAGCAACCAUUACAGCUAUACGCGCUGCAACGACCUCUCUAGCUGAAUCAGGUCACUUUAUCAAUAAUAUCUUUCGUGCACCUGUUUCACAUCGCGGGCUCCAUACACCCGAUCGCUCAGUCCUUGUCUACAACAGCUACGCUAUACCAGCCUAGAUGGAUGUACCCCCCGUCUCUGAGGAUUCACAACCUGUGCUCUCACGCUACAAUGACUCGUCAACCCCCCCCCCCCCCGUCACUGUGCAGUUGAUGUUCCGAUCAUUCAUUGCAUUGUCCUUUUUACAGGGCCCCCAGGCGUCCAGCACGGGCGGCACGGCACACACACGAGACCCCGUGCCAAGCCUCACUCUGCGCAACUGUCCAGGGUCUGCGACUUACCUACAGCUCCUGCCACAUGGUCUGGUCAAGUAUUCAUCAUGUGUGUGUCCAUGUUUGUCCGCUCCCUGUCACUUCUGGACUCCAUGACCCAGUUGACCUUCUAGAUUCACGGGCAACUCUACGUCAAUCACCUGCCCCCAUCUUGCAACGAUCAGUCCGGAAAGGCUCCCCACUUCAUCGAAGUCCCUUUACCACACUGCAAUGCGGCAAGAUGACCCGUGGGAGGAGUCAUCCCUGGCAGCCAUCACUCGUCCAUAUCCAACCACUGUUCUUGCUUCUGGUAAGCCUGCCAUCCUGGACCUAGAACCUGGAAUAUCCGCCCUAACUCGAACACAUGACCAGUGACUCCAGCCACCACUUGCCACAAACAGGAAAUCCUGGACUGCACCCAACCCUGCUCUUUCCUCCAACGCCAAGUGGAUGACUUCUAGCUUCACUAUGCCCAAUAGUCAGCCGCCUUCAUAUCCAACAGUCGGUCCACCAUUCUGGACCUUAGGAUGGUGAACUGGCUUCAUUAACCAAUACUGCCAGAAUUCUAAAGAGCAGUUCCCAGCAUGACAGCCAUAGUUUCGUGAAUGCCCCUUUUCUCUUUACAUGCAUGCGUCAGCAUGUUGAAUGGAUCUGUGUUAACACACGCGCUUCUGUGCCUCUGAAAUACUCUUCUCUUACCCUCUUCACAUGUCGUCGAAUGUUGGGAACCCAAUCAUAAAACUCCCAUUGGUCACUGGAGGCCUUUACUGGGAUCUCUAAAUGGAAAUGCUUGUUAUUUUACUGAUCACUAUUUGCAAAUUGUUUUAGAUAUUUAGUGGGUACUUAUCUUGUAAUACUUUUUUCAAUGCUAUCCUGCAUCAAUCAGAAAUUAAUGCCAUCUGCCCAUCUUACCCCAGCUACUGAACACUAGGUGGGAGCCCCAGGAGCUUGGGGGGUGGGGGUCCGGACUCGGUCAACUGACGAGUCAUGCACCGGGUGUGGACCUGUACACUACUGCUCAUCAAGUCUCCACCACCUUCUGCGUCCCGGUUUUUUUCCAGAUCAAUGUUGGCUAGAAUUUGGACUAUUCUGCAGAGGCCUAUGCUCGUGUUUGCUCCUUUUUUAAUAUUAGCUUCAUAUGCCUGUUUUUUUCCGAAACCUGUCUUCAGGCUAGGCUCGUUAAAGCGGUGGCCGUCCCCCUAAGAUGUAUUCAUAAAUGUUAAUGUAUUAAAUAUAGGCUUGUUCUCAUGUAUAAUUUAAAAUUAAUAUUUAUUAAAGUUUUAUGUAUAGUUAGGCAUAUUAUUGAUUUGGUCAGGAGUUCAGGUUCUGUUGCUGAUUGUUUAAAUUGGAAAUAUUUAUAGAAUUGCCAUUCGAACAGAGGUCAUCAGCGAAGGUCAGAGGUCAUCAUCUGUUCGAGCAAUGUUCAAACGUCAUCAGUCGCAAUUCGUAAAUAAACCAUUUUUCAUUCAUAUAGAGGUUUGGCUGCAUGAUUAACGAGCAUUUUGUCUUUGCUGAUGAAGGCGGGUUGUCUUCUCAGCCUCACUGUUGUGUGGACCUGGAGUCUCUGGUCGCCACCACCUGCACAUCUUUUGGGUUGCCUUCUCAAGGUGCUGACUGGCACUGCCACGCCUGCCCAAAGGUGGCAGUGCCAGUCGGGGUGGCAGUGGUGGCAGUGCCAAUUACUUCGGGGUAAGUAAUUACCAACAGAAGACACCAAGCCGGAGAGACUAUGUAGCACCAUUAGUGUCGCUGGAUAUCCAAAAGGCGCUAAAUAUUACCGAGGAUGCCAAUUCGAAAACAACAGCGCACAAGGCGAGAGAUGUCGAAGGUUCUGGAUUCACUAAGGAUUCUAUCGAAGGGCAAAUGACCGCGAAGACGGUCGGAAAGCAAGACACACGAACUUCCUGAAAUUUAUGACACUCGACAAGGAUAUGCACGACUGUACGGACUAUAAGAAGAUUGAUGCUUGAUUGAUGAAGAUUAAGCCACCCAAAAGGUGGCACGGGCAUGAAUAAGUGGUGGCCCUUUUGAGCCAUUACCAGUAUCAAGAGAUGAUACUGGAGAUCUGUGGAGGUGCGACUGCACCCUACGUGACGGGAGAUGUCUCCCCCGUCGACUAUAAGAAGCAGGGCGGCGCUUCAUUAAGUUUACCUGCUAUUCAUGCCCGAGCCACCUCUUGGGUGGCUUGACGGGGCGUUACUUCUGGAAAAUGAAAGUUGUUUAAUGUCAACCAAUAUUUUUUGAUUAGUUGUAUAUAAAAAGGGCUGCAAUUGUUCCAAGUUUCAGUACUGCAGCCUAAAUAGAGAGAGAUUUUUAAAUUUUUUAAUUUUUUUUUUCAACGAAUUUUACACAUUUUCAAGUGUAUAUUUACAACCACACCUUUCAGAUAUAAUCAUUCUAUGACACUUUUCUGACACAUUAGCAUAUAAUAAAAGAUCUGUAGAAGGGGAUUUUCCAAAAC